UCGAGAGUGACCAACACAUUCAAAGCAAGUAUAAAUAGAUCACAAGGGGACUAACGAUUAGCGGGCAUUGCUGAAGAGUAAAGAAGAGCAGUGCAUAUUUGUGAAUGAAUGGCGAAGGCCGGGAACGGCGAAGGCUGAGAACAGUAGGAAGCCGAGUACGACAAGGGACUGGGAUGGUGUUGAGCACGCGGAGUGCAAAGCUGCGUAUGGCAAUGGCUGGGAAUGGCGUUGGACACGCGGAGUGCAAGUCGUUAGAGGAGACCCUCCUAGGAUGCUGGAUUCAUCCUCUCAGUGAAGACCGCAAACCCAGGGCCUGGUAAAGCACCUCGGACGGUAAGGGCAAAAGAAAGGUCGACCAACCAUGAGUACGGAGAGCGUGGAGAGAUGGGUACAUGUUCGACCUGCCUUUCCGCCACGACUAGGGUUAUUUGUGGAAAAAUGUAUUGCAAUAGUUAUUUUCUCGCCUAAGUUGACCUUAAAUGUAUUUUGAGAUGUAAAGUAUAUCCCAAACAGAAAUGUUGGGAUCCCAACUG